rnacentral:lncRNA from 1 species
AUGACCCAUGCUUCCAUCACGCUGGAGGCACUUGUGUCCAGAGCUCUGAGUAAACCCUGGAUGGCCCAUGGAACUGCAAAAGCAGCAGCGAGACACCAGAAAGAAGAGGCACGUUCGGUGCUCCGGCAGUGCCCAGCAAAGCACAGCGUGGAAUGGUGCCCUUCUCUUGCUGUCUUGUUAAACCAAGCACAGGCUAAUCCCCUCGGCUGUGCUCUUCGAGGUACUGGCUACCCGGCAGGAAGGAGCAACCUGACUUCAUCAGGCAGAAGAGGUGAUGAGUGGUGCAGGGAAGUGUGUGUUUCUCCCCUCAGAAGAGCAUUAACAGCUAAGACCUCCGGUCUGAUGGACUUGCUUGGUGCUCUUCCAAGCUGA